GAGUACUUAAUAUUGAGUGAAGUGAUUGUGCACAUAGGGUCAACAAGCUUGAUAAAAAAAUUAUAUAUUUUUUUAGUUUUAGGUGGACACAUUAUUUUGUUUUUAUGUGAUGCUAAGGAUUGAACCCAGUGCCUCAUGCAUGCUAGGCGAGCACUCUACCACUGAGCCACAACCCCAGCCCGAGAAAAAAUUUAAAUGACGUGUUCAAAUUCACUGUGAUAUUAUUUAGUAUGUUGGCUAUUUUCUAUAAAACAAGGAGUUGAAGUACACAUUAGAUCUAAGCAAGUACAUAAUUUAGCAAUAUAGAAUCCAAAUUAACUUCUGGGUUGUAGAGGUGUAAUGCAUAUAGAAAGCAAAUACCUGAGCAUUAAUCAGAAAUCAGAGGGAAUAACUUGUGAAUAUUAAGUUUUUCACUUGUGGACAGUGAAGUAUAGAGUAGGGUCAAAGGAAAUUUGUGAGAAAAUGCAGGUUUAGAUUCUGGGUUGAUUGAACAUCCUUUUAUACAUCUUGUUUCUAAAGCUCUUUCAUAACUUUUAAUGAUGAUUUUGUGAUAGAUCACUUUUUUAAAAAAGGGAUGUUCUAUUAGAUAUAAAAAGAUGUUAUCUGAUGUGAUGGCACAUGCCUAUAAUCCUAGCAACAUGGGAGACUGAAGCAGUAGGAUUGCAAAGUCGAAGCCAGCCUCGGCAACUUGGCAAGACCCUGUCUCAAAAAUUAUAAAUGAUUGGGGCUCAAUCCCUAGUACCGUAGGGUGGGAAAAGAAAAAAAUAUUUAAGAUAAAUUAUCUCCUCAAAACUUCCUUUUGGAGUCUGUGUGAUUAUUAAAAUUUUGUGAGUGGUUGAUUUGUCCACGCACAGAAACAAAAUCUCAAGAUUCGUUAAUUUUCAGGGAUCAAAAUAACAAAAACUUUUUGUCAUGUUGGAAGUGUUCUACCUCUUAGCUGUUAGCUACAGUAGUCUUGUGGCCAUUGAGUACUCGAAAAGUGGCAUGUGAGAAUUGAUUCACAAAAAGGUCAUCUUGUUUAAAUGAACAUUUAACAAGUGAUGACAAACACAAACAUACUUUGUUCUG
rnacentral:lncRNA from 1 species